rnacentral:rRNA from 1 species
UACGGAGGGGCUAGCGUUGUUCGGAAUUACUGGGCGUAAAGCGCGCGUAGGCGGACCUGCAAGUCGGGGGUGAAAGCCCGAGGCUCAACCUCGGAACUGCCUUCGAUACUGCGGGUCUCGAGUCCGGGAGAGGUGAGUGGAAUUCCGUAGUGUAGAGGUGAAAUUCGUAGAUAUUAGGAAGAACACCAGUGGCGAAGGCGGCUCACUGGCCCGGUACUGACGCUGAGGCGCGAAAGCGUGGGGAGCAAACAGG